rnacentral:rRNA from 1 species
GCCCAGACUCCUACGGGAGGCAGCAGUGAGGAAUAUUGGUCAAUGGCCGAGAGGCUGAACCAGCCAAGUCGCGUGAGGGAGGACGGCCCUACGGGUUGUAAACCUCUUUUGUCAGGGAGCAAGGGACAGGUCGUGACCUGUUGUGAGAGUACCUGAAGAAAAAGCAUCGGCUAACUCCGUGCCAGCAGCCGCGGUAAUACGGAGGAUGCGAGCGUUAUCCGGAUUUAUUGGGUUUAAAGGGUGCGUAGGCGGAAUAUCAAGUCAGCGGUAAAAAUUCGGGGCUCAACCCCAUCCAGCCGUUGAAACUGGGGAUCUAGAGUGUGCGAGAGGUAUGCGGAAUGCGUGGUGUAGCGGUGAAAUGCAUAGAUAUCACGCAGAACCCCGAUUGCGAAGGCAGCAUACCGGCGCCCUACUGACGCUGAGGCACGAAAGCGUGGGUAUCGAACAGGAUUAGAUACCCCGGUA